rnacentral:rRNA from 1 species
GUGGGGAAUCUUAGACAAUGGGCGCAAGCCUGAUCUAGCCAUGCCGCGUGAGUGAUGAAGGCCCUAGGGUUGUAAAGCUCUUUCAGCUGGGAAGAUAAUGACGGUACCAGCAGAAGAAGCCCCGGCUAACUCCGUGCCAGCAGCCGCGGUAAUACGGAGGGGGCUAGCGUUGUUCGGAAUUACUGGGCGUAAAGCGCGCGUAGGCGGACUGAAAAGUUGGGGGUGAAAUCCCGGGGCUCAACCUCGGAACUGCCUUCAAAACUAUCAGUCUGGAGUUCGAGAGAGGUGAGUGGAAUUCCGAGUGUAGAGGUGAAAUUCGUAGAUAUUCGGAGGAACACCAGUGGCGAAGGCGGCUCACUGGCUCGAUACUGACGCUGAGGUGCGAAAGCGUGGGGAGCAAACAGGAUUAGAUACCCUUGUAGUCC